AAGACCUUACGCUUUUGGAGCGGCCGAUGUCUGAUUAGCUUGUUGGUGAGGUAAAGGCUUACCAAGGCUUCGAUCAGUAGCUGGUCUGAGAGGACGACCAGCCACACUGGGACUGAGACACGGCCCAGACUCCUACGGGAGGCAGCAGUGGGGAAUUUUGGACAAUGGGGGAAACCCUGAUCCAGCCAUGCCGCGUGAGUGAAGAAGGCCUUCGGGUUGUAAAGCUCUUUCAGCCGGAACGAAACGGUUACGAUUAAUACCUGUAACUACUGACGGUACCGGAAGAAGAAGCACCGGCUAACUACGUGCCAGCAGCCGCGGUAAUACGUAGGGUGCGAGCGUUAAUCGGAAUUACUGGGCGUAAAGGGUGCGCAGGCGGUUUUGUAAGUCAGAUGUGAAAUCCCCGGGCUUAACCUGGGAACU
rnacentral:rRNA from 1 species